rnacentral:rRNA from 1 species
UACGAAGGGUGCAAGCGUUAAUCGGAAUUACUGGGCGUAAAGGGUGCGUAGGCGGUUCGUUAAGUCUGUCGUGAAAUCCCCGGGCUCAACCUGGGAAUGGCGAUGGAUACUGGCGAGCUAGAGUGUGUCAGAGGAUGGUGGAAUUCCCGGUGUAGCGGUGAAAUGCGUAGAGAUCGGGAGGAACAUCAGUGGCGAAGGCAGCAACUUGGUCUGGUAUUGACGCUCAGGCACGAAAGCAUGGGGAUCAAACAGG